rnacentral:rRNA from 1 species
GACGAACGCUGGCGGCGUGCCUAAUACAUGCAAGUCGAGCGAUGAAGUUUGGUGCUUGCACCAAUUUGAAGAGCAGCGAACGGGUGAGUAACGCGUGGGGAAUCUGCCUUUGAGCGGGGGACAACAUUUGGAAACGAAUGCUAAUACCGCAUAAUAACUUUAAACAUAAGUUUUAAGUUUGAAAGAUGCAAUUGCAUCACUCAAAGAUGAUCCCGCGUUGUAUUAGCUAGUUGGUGAGGUAAAGGCUCACCAAGGCGAUGAUACAUAGCCGACCUGAGAGGGUGAUCGGCCACAUUGGGACUGAGACACGGCCCAAACUCCUACGGGAAGCAGCAGUAGGGAAUCUUCGGCAAUGGACGAAAGUCUGACCGAGCAACGCCGCGUGAGUGAAGAAGGUUUUCGGAUCGUAAAACUCUGUUGGUAGAGAAGAACGUUGGUGAGAGUGGAAAGCUCAUCAAGUGACGGUAACUACCCAGAAAGGGACGGCUAACUACGUG